AACGAGCGCAACCCUUGUCAUUAGUUGCCAUCAUUUGGUUGGGCACUCUAAUGAGACUGCCGGUGACAAACCGGAGGAAGUGGGGAUGACGUCAAGUCCUCACUGGCCCUUAUGGGUAGGGCAUCACACGUCAUACAAUGGUCGGUACAGAGGGUUGCCAACCCGCGAGGGGGAGCUAAUCCCACAAAGCCGAUCGUAGUCCGGAUCGCAGUCUGCAACUCGACUGCGUGAAGUCGGAAUCGCUAGUAAUCGUGGAUCAGCAUGUCACGGUGAAUACGUUCCCGGGUCUU
rnacentral:rRNA from 1 species